AGUAAUUCAAACAGAAUAUACUAAUACGAAGUUUUUAGUAAUUCAAACAGAAUAUACUAAUACGAGGUUUUAACAGUAUAUUAAUUUUUACAGAUUUAAAUGUUUUCUAUUAAUAAUUUAUUAAUAGAAAACAAACUAUAAACCUUGAUAUUUGGGAUAAGGUUAUCUUAGUAAAGCCAUGAUCCAAGCAAGUAUUGUGAAUUUUAAAAUAGAUAUCACAGAUGUAAUGGUUUGCAAAAUUGGUACUGUAAGCGUGUGGCUUGUAAAGCUGCUCAUGUGUAUGGGUUUAUUAAAAAAAUUUGUGCUGGCAAAUAUCAAAAAGAAUAUACAAACAACAACUUUUUUGUUAUUGGCAGGCUGCAUUUGACGACUUACCUUCCUGCAAUGAGAUUAAAACAACCUCCAACAAGCCAAUUUAAAAAAUUUUCCAUUGCAGCAUGUUCUAAAAGGAAUUUCUUUAAGUUAUUUUUGAAGAUUGUUUAAUGCUGGUUUUUUACCAAACUUUAAUUUUAAAAAACUAUUCACAUAUA